UACAGAGGUGGCAAGCGUUGUUCGGAAUUACUGGGCGUAAAGGGCGCGUAGGCGGUCUUGUAAGUCCCGUGUGAAAUCCCUCGGCUCAACUGAGGAACUGCACGGGAAACUGCCUGACUUGAGUUCGGGAGAGGGAAGCGGAAUUCCGGGUGUAGCGGUGAAAUGCGUAGAUAUCCGGAGGAACACCGGUGGCGAAGGCGGCUUCCUGGACCGACACUGACGCUGAGGCGCCGAAAGCUAGGGGAGCAAACGGG
rnacentral:rRNA from 1 species